GACGAACGCUGGCGGCGUGCUUAAUACAUGCAAGUCGAACGGAAAGGCCCUGCUUUUGUGGGGUGCUCGAUUGGCGAACGGGGGAGUAACACGUGAGGAUCCUGCCCUUGACUUUCGGAGAUCUCCAGGAAACUGGGGCUAAUACCGGAUAGGAGCUUCUGCUGCAUGGUGGGGGUUGGAAAGUUUCGGCGGUUGGGGAUGGACUCGCGGCUUAUCAGCUUGUUUGUCGGGUAGUGGCUUACCAAGGUUUCGACGGGUAGCCGGCCUGAGAGGGUGAACGGCCACAAUGGGACUGAGAUACGGACCAGACUCCAACGGGAGGCAGUGGUGGGGAAUCUGGCGCAACGGGCGGACGCCAGAUACAGAAACGCCGCGAGCGGGAUGACGGCCUUCGGGUUGUGAACAGCUUUCGACUGUAACGAAGCGUGAGUGACGGUAAUGGGUAAAGAAGCACCGGCUAACUACGUG
rnacentral:rRNA from 1 species